rnacentral:rRNA from 2 species
CGGUGAUUUAACCGUAUGUGUCCCACCUCUUCCCAUUCCGAACAGAGAAGUGAAAGCGUACGGUCCCGAUGAUACUUGCUGCUUCGGCGGCUGGGAAAGUAGGGUUUGCCGGCUUUU